GGUUAAGCGACUAAGCGUACACGGUGGAUGCCCUGGCAGUCAGAGGCGAUGAAGGACGUGCUAAUCUGCGAUAAGCGCCGGUAAGGUGAUAUGAACCGUUAUAACCGGCGAUUUCCGAAUGGGGAAACCCAGUGUGACUCGUCACACUAUCAUUAACUGAAUCCAUAGGUUAAUGAGGCGAACCGGGGGAACUGAAACAUCUAAGUACCCCGAGGAAAAGAAAUCAACCGAGAUUCCCCCAGUAGCGGCGAGCGAACGGGGAGGAGCCCAGAGCCUGAAUCAGCAUGUGUGUUAGUGGAAGCGUCUGGAAAGGCGCGCGAUACAGGGUGACAGCCCCGUACACAAAAGCGCAUAUGCUGUGAGCUCGAUGAGUAGGGCGGGACACGUGGUAUCCUGUCUGAAUAUGGGGGGACCAUCCUCCAAGGCUAAAUACUCCUGACUGACCGAUAGUGAACCAGUACCGUGAGGGAAAGGCGAAAAGAACCCCGGCGAGGGGAGUGAAAAAGAACCUGAAACCGUGUACGUACAAGCAGUGGGAGCCCCACCACUAAGCCAGUGGUGAAGUCCACAUACGCAUCCUUUGCUGAGGAUACGGUUAACGGAGCGAAAGCGACGUUCAACCGCAAAAAAAGAAGCAGAGGGGGCUUAGUGGUGGGGUGACUGCGUACCUUUUGUAUAAUGGGUCAGCGACUUAUAUUCUGUAGCAAGGUUAACCGAAUAGGGGAGCCGGAGGGAAACCGAGUCUUAAUUGGGCGUUAAGUUGCAGGGUAUAGACCCGAAACCCGGUGAUCUAGCCAUGGGCAGGUUGAAGGUUGGGUAACACUAACUGGAGGACCGAACCGACUAAUGUUGAAAAAUUAGCGGAUGACCUGUGGCUGGGGGUGAAAGGCCAAUCAAACCGGGAGAUAGCUGGUUCUCCCCGAAAGCUAUUUAGGUAGCGCCUCGUGAAUUCAUCUCCGGGGGUAGAGCACUGUUUCGGCUAGGGGGCCAUCCCGGCUUACCAACCCGAUGCAAACUGCGAAUACCGGAGAAUGUUAUCACGGGAGACACACGGCGGGUGCUAACGUCCGUCGUGAAGAGGGAAACAACCCAGACCGCCAGCUAAGGUCCCAAAGUCAUGGUUAAGUGGGAAACGAUGUGGGAAGGCCCAGACAGCCAGGAUGUUGGCUUAGAAGCAGCCAUCAUUUAAAGAAAGCGUAAUAGCUCACUGGUCGAGUCGGCCUGCGCGGAAGAUGUAACGGGGCUAAACCAUGCACCGAAGCUGCGGCAGCGACGCUGAUGCGUUGUUGGGUAGGGGAGCGUUCUGUAAGCCUGCGAAGGUGGCCUGUGAGGGUUGCUGGAGGUAUCAGAAGUGCGAAUGCUGACAUAAGUAACGAUAAAGCGGGUGAAAAGCCCGCUCGCCGGAAGACCAAGGGUUCCUGUCCAACGUUAAUCGGGGCAGGGUGAGUCGACCCCUAAGGCGAGGCCGAAAGGCGUAGUCGAUGGGAAACGGGUUAAUAUUCCCGUACUUGGUGUUACUGCGAAGGGGGGACGGAGAAGGCUAUGUUGGCCGGGCGACGGUUGUCCCGGUUUAAGCGUGUAGGUGUGUGUUCCAGGUAAAUCCGGUUCACUUUAACACUGAGGCGUGAUGACGAGGCACUACGGUGCUGAAGCAACAAAUGCCCUGCUUCCAGGAAAAGCCUCUAAGCAUCAGGUAACAUCAAAUCGUACCCCAAACCGACACAGGUGGUCAGGUAGAGAAUACCAAGGCGCUUGAGAGAACUCGGGUGAAGGAACUAGGCAAAAUGGUGCCGUAACUUCGGGAGAAGGCACGCUGACACGUAGGUGAAGUGAUUUACUCAUGGAGCUGAAGUCAGUCGAAGAUACCAGCUGGCUGCAACUGUUUAUUAAAAACACAGCACUGUGCAAACACGAAAGUGGACGUAUACGGUGUGACGCCUGCCCGGUGCCGGAAGGUUAAUUGAUGGGGUCAGCGCAAGCGAAGCUCCUGAUCGAAGCCCCGGUAAACGGCGGCCGUAACUAUAACGGUCCUAAGGUAGCGAAAUUCCUUGUCGGGUAAGUUCCGACCUGCACGAAUGGCGUAAUGAUGGCCAGGCUGUCUCCACCCGAGACUCAGUGAAAUUGAACUCGCUGUGAAGAUGCAGUGUACCCGCGGCAAGACGGAAAGACCCCGUGAACCUUUACUAUAGCUUGACACUGAACAUUGAGCCUUGAUGUGUAGGAUAGG
rnacentral:rRNA from 1 species